rnacentral:rRNA from 1 species
AGUGAACGCUGGCGGUAGGCCUAUCACAUGCAAGUCGAACGGCAGCACAGUAAGAGCUUGCUCUUACGGGUGGCGAGUGGCGGACGGGUGAGGAAUACAUCGGAAUCUACUUUUUCGUGGGGGAUAACGUAGGGAAACUUACGCUAAUACCGCAUACGACCUACGGGUGAAAGCAGGGGAUCUUCGGACUUUGCGCGAUUGAAUGAGCCGAUGUCGGAUUAGCUAGUUGGCGGGGUAAAGGCCCACCAAGGCGACGAUCCGUAGCUGGUCUGAGAGGAUGAUCAGCCGCACUGGAGCUGAGACACGGUCCAGACUCCGACGGGAGGCAGCAGUGGGGAAUAUUGGACGAUGGGCGCAAGCCUGAUCCAGCCAUACCGCGUGGGUGAAGAAGGCCUUCGGGUUGUAAAGCCCUUUUGUUGGGAAAGAAAAGCAGCAGGUUAAUACCCCGCUGUUCUGACGGUACCCAAAGAAUAAGCGCCGGCUGACUUCGUG